CAUUAGUUGUUUUUACACAGUUAUGUAUGUUUCAUAAUAAUCCUGAAUACAGUAACUGCCCAUUCUAAUCUUGAAGUCAAUCCAUGAAAUCCCGUUAAUGACUAGAUGCCCCUAACGUAAAUUGAUCUGUGAUUAAAACUGCAGUUGCAGGCAAGCUACGAGAUAAAUAAGAGCUUCUUAGUUAUAAGUGCAUGGCUUUGAGAGAUCUGAAAGAUAGUUUAAAUUCUGUAAAAUUGCACAUUUUAAGUCAAAUGUUUUUUAGAUAUUUUUUUUUAUUUUUCAAUGCACUCAUUCACAUGUUACAUUUUUACAUGGUGAUCAUGAAAUACAACACAAUUUUGUUUGGGUGAAGUUGAAUCCAUUUGGCUGCAAGUCGAAGAAACUGACAAAGACACAUACUUACCUUUUAUUCAAUUAAUAAUCAAGCAUGAUCAACCAGUAACCCAAUUAUAUGCCACUCACAUUGCACAACCAUCUGUAGUUAAUUCAGGGGCAGAACUAGUGCCAGUUCAUUGAACCAUUGCCCGGCUGGCAGGAUUGAAGAAAUCUUCUUAAUUAGCAGCCCAGCCCUGAAAUAAACAUGAACAUAGGUCUAUAACAUUUCUUCUUAGAAUGUGCCAAGGAAGAUUCCCAUUGAUAAGAAUAUCAAAGGAAGGAAACAAUUGGAAAAUGUGACAAUAAGAUAAGGAUGUGUGAGCUGCAAGAGGGACAUAGAGUAGAAUUGGUACACAUUUGAACAAGAAACAUUGUGGUACAUGGCGGACAGUGGAGAAUGUACAAAUGCUUACAAGGAAACAACAGGGUCAGAGGGGCUGUAGUAAAAGGGUGCACAUGGAAGUUGCAUAAGGCAUGUGGGGAACACAAGAGAGACAGAAGGCCGAUAGGGGACAUGGGAGAUACUGAGCAGAAUAGUUAACAAGGGACAUUGUGUAUCAAGAGAUAGUGGUUAGACUGGAUAACCACAAGGCAAAAAAGAUUGGAAAGCCAGGGUAAUGAACAUAUUGUUAUGGAGGCAAAGAAAAUUGUCUGUGGGAAACAUGGAAAAAUUGAUUUUGUCAGGAAUAUUCCUGCUCUGAAUCUCACCAACUUUUUCCACCACUGAGCAUAAUAGAGCAUGUAGAAUUGUGUGAGAAUCUCCUAAGCAUGCAAUACUG